CAUGUAGGCCAGCUGACAUGUGCAUGAGAUGCCUGGCCUUGUAAUUUGGGAAGGCCAGGCACUUGGAUGCAUCACUAAUUACCACUGAUAAAAAGGCAAAAUCCCAGUUUUUCUUGUCAGCUUGACAAACUUUGGCAUAUAAGUAUUUCCAGAAAUCUAACAUUGCAUGUAGCCUACACUUUAUUUAUAAACAUACAAAUAUAUUGUAUGUUAGCCUAUUUAGUUCAGCCUGACACAAAAGUCAAUUAAGAACUUGGUUCCUGAUUUACUAGGAACUUCCGUGUUGAGUUGUUGUCAGCUGUUGUGGAGAUCAGAGGAUUUGGAACUUAGACUUGGACUCAGAUUCAAACAAUGAGAACUUAAUUGGCUACCAGGACCUGGUCCAAGCCCCCCUCCCUGAUUUUUAACUUUAUUUUACUGUGCAAGACUGGUGGUCUACGCCUUUAUAUGCCUGUGGUGCCGCGGCAUGCGCAAAAUGGGAAACAGGACAUGAUAGGGUUUAAUUGGAACGCUCCUUGGUAUGUUGGUAAAGGUAGGCUGAUUGUCCAAAUACAAAAGGAUUUGCACGGAAUCAUGCAAAUUCAUUCUGUUCAUGGAAUUCUGAAAGUUUCCAUGAUUGACUUAGUAGUUUACAGUUUAAUGAGUUGAAGGUUGUACUGAAGUGCAACAUGUUACUCAUAGCAAACUACCUGAAGUCUACGGUCUGUCAUGAGUCUGUGCUGGGUCCAAUGUCCACAAGCAGGGUGGACGUCGGACCCUUCAGUUCUGGGAGUAGAUAAGUGUCACAAAUUCUGCUUUUUUCAAUCAAAUUUUCCUUUGAGAAUGCCAGCAGCCAUUAAGCUUGAGGUACCCAGGCUAAAGGAGGUUUCUACACCAAAAAUCACUGAGGGUUUCCUCCGCAUUCUGCUGUUUUCUUCCCAAUGAUUGUACCAUACUGUACAUUUUGUGUGCAUCACACAGAGCACAUGCAGCGACAGCCAAGGGCCAGUAUAGCCGAGCUAUUUCCGCGUGUCAUUUCGACUAUUUUUGGAGAUGGCAACGUUUAACUUGCCACAGCUAGCAUAGUACUUGGCCUGAUGGUAUCACUCCAGUCACACAGCUCAGAGACCACUCGUGCGAUAAAAAUAAGAUUCUACCCCCUCCUCCAUAUAUGGACAAACUGACCUUGCUAAAUUGGCAAUUAGCCCGUGCCUGGGCACUGAGCCUGUGAUGCACACAGAUUGUUCAGUGCAGUGUCAUUGUUGAGAAGAAAAUGGGAGAUGCGUGAGUAAAGCCUCCAAUUUUUCAAAAUAAGAUUAGUCUUAAAGUCUAAAAACUGGCGUUAAUUACACAGUUUUCAAGAGUUAUACAUGUAGCUAGGUACUUUAAGCUUGCUCUCGCAUGAAAAUUUGCAUCACCGGUCAUCGAUAUACCUCAAAGGCUGGAUUCAAAAUACAGAUAGCAUUGCAUAACCAAACACUAGAAAAAUUUGCCCAAAACCUCACAUGAACAUUUGAGAAGUUCUGUAUACUGGAUAAUUUCUAUUAUUAUCUCAAUUUACAUACACUUAAAAGUUUGUUGAAAAAUUAUUUUUAAUUUUUGGGCUGGUUUAGAAAUGUCCAUUUUGCUCUGAACGGAAAAAAAAAUAGGAAAACUGAGCCAAAAUAUAAAGUUUAUUGGAAAGUUGUAGUGAGUGAGUAAAUUCCGGAGUUUUGAAUUAGAUUAGUUGGAGUUGGAUGAAAUGUCUGUUAAUUUGAGGUAAAAAUGUUGCUCCGGCAAGGCACUGGAGGCAAAAAAUCAAACUGCACCAAAGUUAGGGGGUGCACAGUUAGGGGACUUCAACACUAAAUGAAGGAUGUUGCUGUGACAACAGUAAAAGCUGAAGUGAUGCAUGUUUUUGUUUUUAUUGCAGGAGGAAGUCAUUAAGAGUAGAUGAUAUAGCAAGUGACCAAUGGGUGGGCAGCAUCAGUGGAGAGCACAGAACCUGACUCCGACAAGUUUGGCCUCACAGAAAAUGAUGAAGAUGACUCUGGUGUUUGCUGUAGCACAGACAGAGAAGAAGCGGGCUCAAAAGAGACUCAAUUCUAAUGAUGACCCAAGUGACAGCCACUCUGACAGUGAUGAGGAACAAGAACAGUGGAUGGAGAAAACAACAGAUUUGGGAAGGCCUCAUUACCAGGUGAAUAUACUGCCUACAUGGUGCGAGUGGACUGACCAAUGAAAUCUCCAAAGCGAAGAGGCAGGUUACCUCAUAAGUAGCACAGACCUCCUCAUAUGAAAGGUGUGGGUAUGCCCCAGGAGAAGCUGACCAUGAUGCUGAUGAGAAGAGUGCCCUCGCCUCCGUCAACCUGGAGAGAAGGAAGGAGGACAAGAUCCUAUGGGACUUCACAGAGAUGAUUCAUGAGAUUGUCAAGGAGAGGAAGUAACUCAGAUAGA
rnacentral:lncRNA from 1 species